rnacentral:rRNA from 1 species
GACGAACGCUUGCGGCGUGCCUAAGAAAUGCAAGUCGAACGGGGGCUUCGGCCCUAGUGGCGAACGGUCGCGUAACACGUGGGCAACCUGCCCUGAAGCGGGGGACAACAAUUCGAAAGGAUUGCUAAUACCGCAUGUGGUCAACGGAGGCAUCUUCGUUGCCUAAAGGACUUCGGUUCACUUCAGGAUGGGCCCGCGGCCUAUCAGCUAGUUGGUGGGGUAACGGCCUACCAAGGCUUGGACGGGUAGCUGGUCUGAGAGGACGACCAGCCGGAUU